rnacentral:lncRNA from 1 species
UGGACCCCUCCCACCAUCCUCCAGUGCUUCCAUGUCUCCAAAAGCGCCUUCCUGUCCCUCUCAUCUGUCCCUGCACCUUGGGGCUGGGGUAGGUGAGGCCAAGAGGGACUGUCCACUUUACGAACUGAGGAAACAAGUCCAAAAGGCUUAGGGAAGCACUAGAACUGACCCUCUGUGACAGCCUUCAGCAUACCCUCUUGUCCCACCGUGCUCUGCCUCUGUGGGUCCCCUCAGUCCAAGAGGUCAUUCCAAGAGAGCAGUGCUCCUGUGGGCAGGUGAGGGUCUCAGGACUGGUUUCCAGUCUGGCAGAAUUUGUGGGUGUGCAUGUGUGUGUGCGUGCGUGCCUGCGUAGAAUGUUUGCUUUUCAAAACAUGAAAAUCAAGAGGCAGCAAGCCCAGGGUUGGAACCAGGGAGCAGGCUGGGAGACUGCUGCCCUCCUCCCAUCCGACCCUGGGCAGGGCUCCCAGCCCCCACCCCCUGUACAUAACUUUUUGAAACAUUUUUUUUAGCGAGUGAAAUACUGAAGGUAAGAUUCCCUUUUAUUUUUCAAAUCAAUGGAAAUGUGUCUGAGGUUCCUUGGGUCCCUGGGCUGUGGAAGGCAGGAUGCAGGGAAAACUGAAUGUGUGUGUGUGGGAUGUGGGUGCAUGUUUCCACAGGGGCCCAGUCCCACUGCCCCAGGACUCCUGUGGAUCCAAUCAGCUUCCUAUCCCCCAGGACUACAGUUUUAGGGUGUUCACAGGUCCCAGUUGGCUGAGCCCACUCCUGGGGGAUGGAUGAGGCAGGGCAGGGUCUACAUCCAUUGUUGCUGGUUUGUGGAGCUGUCUCUGGUCGCACUCCUUUCCACUCUGCCUCUCCAGGAGCAAUCUUUCAGGUGUCUGAGUUUGAUAUGUGAGCACAGGGUUUCUAUUACUCCCCUCCUUUUCCCUCCUUUCACCACCUCACUGGUUCUGUUCUAGCCCUGACCUCCCUCCCUCUCCCCAACUCUGCAUUCUAGCUGCCUUUUCAGAGGCAGGGGGUUGCAGGAUUGGAGAAGGUGGGAUGGAGCCUUCUGAGUCAGAUCUGGAGACCUGUCUCCAGGCUAGCAGCACCCUCUAAUCUGCUGGGAUCCCUCGUAACAUCUGGUGGUGAGGUUGGGGUGUUGGGUCUGACUUGGCCCCCAGUACCUUACCCUGGGUGUCCAAGUGGAGGGGAGAAGACACCCCUAGCUAAAGCACAAGUACUUUAGUCAUACCCCCUCCCUCCAACCCUGCCCUGGCCUGUUA